rnacentral:rRNA from 1 species
UACAGAGGUGGCAAGCGUUGUUCGGAAUUACUGGGCGUAAAGGGCUCGUAGGCGGCCAACUAAGUCGGACGUGAAAUCCCCAGGCUCAACCUGGGAACUGCGUCCGAUACUGGAUGGCUUGAAUUCGGGAGAGGGAUGCAGAAUUCCAGGUGUAGCGGUGAAAUGCGUAGAUAUCUGGAGGAAUACCGGUGGCGAAGGCGGCAUCCUGGACCGACAUUGACGCUGAGGAGCGAAAGCUAGGGGAGCAAACGGGG